UGGGGAAUUUUGGACAAUGGGCGCAAGCCUGAUCCAGCAAUGCCGCGUGCAGGAUGAAGGCCUUCGGGUUGCAAACUGCUUUUGUACGGAACGAAACGGCUCUGGUUAAUACCUGGGGCUAAUGACGGUACCGUAAGAAUAAGCACCGGCUAACUACGUGCCAGCAGCCGCGGUAAUACGUAGGGUGCGAGCGUUAAUCGGAAUUACUGGGCGUAAAGCGUGCGCAGGCGGUUAUAUAAGACAGAUGUGAAAUCCCCGGGCUCAACCUGGGAACUGCAUUUGUGACUGUAUAGCUAGAGUACGGCAGAGGGGGAUGGAAUUCCGCGUGUAGCAGUGAAAUGCGUAGAUAUGCGGAGGAACACCGAUGGCGAAGGCAAUCCCCUGGACCUGUACCGACGCUCAUGCACGAAAGCGUGGGGAGCAAACA
rnacentral:rRNA from 1 species